CCUACGGGAGGCAGCAGUGCGGAAUAUUGCACAAUGGGCGCAAGCCUGAUGCAGCACGCCGCGUGAGGGACGAAGGCCUUCGGGUUGUAAACCUCUUUUAGCAGGGAAGAAGCUAAGUGACGGUACCUGCAGAAAAAGCACCGGCUAACUACGUGCCAGCAGCCGCGGUAAUA
rnacentral:rRNA from 1 species